rfam:Parcubacteria bacterium GW2011_GWA2_47_10 TX72_C0039, whole genome shotgun sequence.
GGGGGUGUUGGGCCUCGAUAGAUCAUUAACACAUCGGGAAUCAAGCGGAAGACGCAGAGUAACUUCCGAAAAUAAUCUUUGCGAAAAAUAAGUGCAAACUUAUCUUCAAAGGUGAAGAACGCGUUCACUUCCAUUUUCGGAGGUGGAUAUGCAUUCGCACCGGCUCUUGCCUAACGGCUUGAGCCACCAGUUCCGGUCUUUAUGACCGGGGCCAUCGCCCCGGCUGAUGCUUAGUCGGUCGGAAAAGCGGUGUUAUACACCUAAGCUUGGUCACGCGCCACCGAAGCGCCUGACGACAAACUUUCGGAAAAAGUGUUAAGUAUUCUGCUAAGUUUUUAGCUUGACACUUUUCAAAUGAGCUUAGCUAGGCUUGUAUCGUUCCUGGUGUCAUAUGUUCUACACACCGGUUCAACUCCGGUCACCUCCACCA